GCCCGGCUAACUACGUGCCAGCAGCCGCGGUAAUACGUAGGGGCGAGCGUUGUCCGGAAUUAUUGGGCGUAAAGGGUACGUAGGCGGCUUUUUAAGUUUGACGUGAAAGCCCGGGGCUUAACUCCGGCAAGCGUUGAAAACUGGAGGGCUUGAGUGAUGGAAGGGACAGUGGAAUUCCUGGUGUAGUGGUGAAAUGCGCAGAGAUCAGGAAGAAUACCAGUGGCGAAGGCGACUGUCUGGACAUUAACUGACGCUGAGGUACGAAAGCGUGGGGAGCAAACAGGAUCAGAUACCCUGGUAGUCCACGCCGUAAACGAUGAGCACUAGGUAUCGGGGUCAGAAGACUUCGGUGCCGCCGUUAACACAUUAAGCACUCCGCCUGGGGAGUACGUACGCA
rnacentral:rRNA from 1 species